rnacentral:misc_RNA from 1 species
AGGGUUUGUUGAGUUGUGUGAUUAUUGUUUGUUUAUUUGUUUGAUAAUUGUUAGUUGUGUUGUGUAAUUUUUGUUUGUUUAGUUGUUUGAUUAUUGUUAGUUGAGUAGUAUGAUUUUUUAGAGGUGAGUUUUAUGAUUAUAGUUUGUUGAUUGAUUUUUGUUUAUUUAGUUUUAUGUUUAUUGUUUUUAGAGGUAUAUGAUUAGUGUGUGAUAUUAAAUAUGAUUAGUAUAUGAUUAGUUAUAUGAUUAAUGUAUGAUAAGUUAGGUGAAUAGUGUAUGAUUAA